AAUGGCGCACAUGGUUGCACAUGGUGUGAUGGUGGCAGCGUAGGUGAUUGAAUUUCCAGUUUUUUCUAGGUGUUUAGGUUUGUCAAUAACUUCUGCUGAUGAGAUGCAGUAACAGGAGGAGAAGCUAGAAAUUAAAAAGAGGAAGAAACUAUGCAUCAUCAAAGG